AUACGUAGGGUGCAAGCGUUAAUCGGAAUUACUGGGCGUAAAGCGUGCGCAGGCGGUGUUGUUAAGACAGAGGUGAAAUCCCCCGGGCUCAACCUGGGAACUGCCUUUGUGACUGCAACGCUAGAGUACGGCAGAGGGGGAUGGAAUUCCGCGUGUAGCAGUGAAAUGCGUAGAUAUGCGGAGGAACACCGAUGGCGAAGGCAAUCCCCUGGGCCUGUACUGACGCUCAUGCACGAAAGCGUGGGGAGC
rnacentral:rRNA from 1 species